rnacentral:rRNA from 1 species
CCCUUAGAUGUCCGGGGCCGCACGCGCGCUACACUGAAGGAAUCAGCGUGGCUUUCUCCCUGACCCGAAAGGGUUGGGAAACCCGUUGAAUCUCCUUCGUGAUAGGGAUUGGGGCUUGAAAUUGUUCCCCAUGAACGAGGAAUUCCCAGUAAGCGCGAGUCAUAAGCUCGCGUUGAUUACGUCCCUGCCCUUUGUACACACCGCCCGUCGCUACUACCGAUUGAACGGUUUAGUGAGGGCCUCGGAUUGUUCUCGGCCCGCUCUUUACCGGGCGGCGCCGUUGGUCGAGAAGACGCUCGAACUUGAUCGUUUAGAGGAAGUAAAAGUCGUAACA